rnacentral:rRNA from 1 species
GAUGAACGCUAGCUACAGGCUUAACACAUGCAAGUCGCGGGGCAGCAUGGGGGUUGCUUGCAAUCCCCGAUGGCGACCGGCGCACGGGUGAGUAACGCGUAUCCAACCUGCCCUUCACCACGGGAUAACCCGGCGAAAGUCGGACUAAUACCGUAUGUUGUCCAUUGACGGCAUCCGAUUUGGACGAAAGGCUUGGCGGUGAGGGAUGGGGAUGCGUCCGAUUAGCCAGACGGCGGGGUAACGGCCCACCGUGGCUACGAUCGGUAGGGGUUCUGAGAGGAAGGUCCCCCACACUGGAACUGAGACACGGUCCAGACUCCUACGGGAGGCAGCAGUGAGGAAUAUUGGUCAAUGGGCGUAAGCCUGAACCAGCCAAGUAGCGUGCAGGAUGACGGCCCUAUGGGUUGUAAACUGCUUUUAUGUGGGGAUAAAGUGGCCCACGUGUGGGCUUUUGCAGGUACCGCAUGAAUAAGGACCGGCUAAUUCCGUG